rnacentral:rRNA from 1 species
AUUGAACUCUGGCGGCAGGCCUAACACAUGCAAGUCGAACGGUAACAGGAAGCAGCUUGCUGCUUCGCUGACGAGUGGCGGACGGGUGAGUAAUGUCUGGGAAACUGCCUGAUGGAGGGGGAUAACUACUGGAAACGGUAGCUAAUACCGCAUAACGUCGCAAGACCAAAGAGGGGGACCUUAGGGCCUCUUGCCAUCGGAUGUGCCCAGAUGGGAUUAGCUAGUAGGUGGGGUAACGGCUCACCUAGGCGACGAUCCCUAGCUGGUCUGAGAGGAUGACCAGCCACACUGGAACUGAGACACGGUCCAGACUCCUACGGGAGGCAGCAGUGGGGAAUAUUGCACAAUGGGCGCAAGCCUGAUGCAGCCAUGCCGCGUGUAUGAAGAAGGCCUUCGGGUUGUAAAGUACUUUCAGCGGGGAGGAAGGGAGUAAAGUUAAUACCUUUGCUCAUUGACGUUACCCGCAGAAGAAGCACCGGCUAACUCCGUG